AACGUAGGAGACAAACGUUAUCCGGAGUUACUGGGCGUAAAGGGUGUGUAGGCGGUUGUUUAAGUUUGGUGUGAAAUCUCCCGGCUCAACUGGGAGGGUGCGCCGAAUACUGAAUGACUUGAAGGCGGGAGAGGGAAGCGGAAUUCCCGGUGUAGUGGUGAAAUGCGUAGAUAUCGGGAGGAACACCAGUGGCGAAGGCGGCAUCCUGGACCAACAUUGACGCUGAGGAGCGAAAGCCAGGG
rnacentral:rRNA from 1 species